GUUAUAUGGUCAAGCGAAUAAGCGCACACGGUGGAUGCCUUGGCGGUCAGAGGCGAUGAAGGACGUGGCAGCCUGCGAAAAGUAUCGGGGAGCUGGCAACAAGCUUUGAUCCGGUAAUGUCCGAAUGGGGAAACCCACCCGCUUGCGGGUAUCCUGCAGUGAAUACAUAGCUGCUGGAAGCGAACCUGGUGAACUGAAAUAUCUAAGUAACCAGAGGAAAAGAAAUCAACCGAGAUUCCGUAAGUAGCGACGAGCGAACGCGGACUAGCCCUUAAGCUGAUUUGGUUCUAGGAAAACGCUCUGGAAAGAGCGGCCAUAGAAGGUGAUAGCCCUGUAUCUGAAAGGGCCAUUUCAGUGAAGACGAGUAGGGCGGGGCACGUGAAACCCUGUCUGAACAUGGGGGGACCAUCCUCCAAGGCUAAAUACUACUGACCGACCGAUAGUGAACCAGUACCGUGAGGGAAAGGCGAAAAGAACCCCGGAGAGGGGAGUGAAAUAGAACCUGAAACCGUGUGCGUACAAGCAGUAGGAGCUCCGCAAGGAGUGACUGCGUACCUUUUGUAUAAUGGGUCAGCGACUUACUGUUCGUGGCAAGCUUAACCGUAUAGGGGAGGCGAAGGGAAACCGAGUCUGAUAAGGGCGCAUAGUCGCGGGCAGUAGACCCGAAACCGGGUGAUCUAGUCAUGCCCAGGGUGAAGGUGCGGUAACACGCACUGGAGGCCCGAACCCACUCCCGUUGCAAAGGUAGGGGAUGAGGUGUGAUUAGGAGUGAAAAGCUAAUCGAACCCGGAGAUAGCUGGUUCUCCUCGAAAGCUAUUUAGGUAGCGCCUCAUAUGUAUCCUCUCGGGGGUAGAGCACUGUUAUGGCUAGGGGGUCAUCGCGACUUACCAAACCAUUGCAAACUCCGAAUACCGAGACGGACUGUAUGGGAGACACACGGCGGGUGCUAACGUCCGUCGUGAAAAGGGAAACAACCCAGACCCACAGCUAAGGUCCCAAAUUUUGUGCUAAGUGGAAAACCAUGUGGAAAGGCACAGACAGCCAGGAGGUUGGCUUAGAAGCAGCCACCCUUUAAAGAAAGCGUAAUAGCUCACUGGUCGAGUCGGUCUGCGGGGAAGAUUUAACGGGGCUAAGCACAGAACCGAAGCUUGGGGUGCAUACUUUGUAUGCGCGGUAGAGGAGCGUUCCGUAAGCCGUUGAAGGUGGAUUGAGAAGUCUGCUGGAGGUAUCGGAAGUGCGAAUGCUGACAUGAGUAACGAUAAUGCGGGUGAAAAACCCGCACGCCGAAAGCCCAAGGUUUCCUUGCGCAACGUUAAUCGGCGCAGGGUGAGUCGGCCCCUAAGGCGAGGACGAAAGUCGUAGUCGAUGGGAAGCAGGUUAAUAUUCCUGCACCUCGCGUAAGUGCGAUGGAGGGACGGAGAAGGUUAGGUGUACCAGGCGUUGGUUGUCCUGGGGAAAGGCGGUAGGUUUGGAUCUUUGGCAAAUCCGGGAUCCUUUAAGACCGAGCACCGAGACGAGCCUUUAUGGCGAAGUCACUGAUACCACGCUUCCAGGAAAAGCUCCUAAGCUUCAGCUUACGCAGACCGUACCGUAAACCGACACAGGUGGGUAGGAUGAGAAUUCUCAGGCGCUUGAGAGAACUCGGGUGAAGGAACUAGGCAACAUGGCACCGUAACUUCGGGAGAAGGUGCACCCUUUUUGGUGGCUCGUGCGAGCUAUAGCUGAAGAGGGUCGCAGUAACCAGGCCGCUGCGACUGUUUAUCAAAAACACAGCACUCUGCAAACACGAAAGUGGACGUAUAGGGUGUGACGCCUGCCCGGUGCUGGAAGGUUAAUUGAUGGGGUCAGCCGCAAGGCGAAGCUCUUGAUCGAAGCCCCAGUAAACGGCGGCCGUAACUAUAACGGUCCUAAGGUAGCGAAAUUCCUUGUCGGGUAAGUUCCGACCUGCACGAAUGGCGUAACGACAGCGGCGCUGUCUCCACCCGAGACUCAGUGAAAUUGAAAUCGCUGUGAAGAUGCAGCGUUCCCGUGGCAAGACGGAAAGACCCCGUGAACCUUUACUAUAGCUUUACACUGAACGUUGAGUUCGUCUGUGUAGGAUAGGUGGGAGGCUAUGAAACUGUGGCGCUAGCUGCAGCGGAGCCAUCCUUGAAAUACCACCCUGUCGUGCUUGACGUUCUAACCUGGGCCCAUUAUCUGGGUCGGGGACCGUGUAUGGUGGGUAGUUUGACUGGGGCGGUCUCCUCCUAAAGAGUAACGGAGGAGCUCGAAGGUACGCUCAGCGCGGUCGGACAUCGCGCACUGUGUGCAAAGGCAUAAGCGUGCUUGACUGCAAGAUCGACGGAUCAAGCAGGUAGGAAACUAGGACUUAGUGAUCCGGUGGUUCUGUAUGGAAGGGCCAUCGCUCAACGGAUAAAAGGUACUCCGGGGAUAACAGGCUGAUACCGCCCAAGAGUUCAUAUCGACGGCGGUGUUUGGCACCUCGAUGUCGGCUCAUCACAUCCUGGGGCUGUAGUCGGUCCCAAGGGUAUGGCUGUUCGCCAUUUAAAGUGGUACGCGAGCUGGGUUCAGAACGUCGUGAGACAGUUCGGUCCCUAUCUGCCAUGGGCGUUGGAGAUUUGAGAGGGGCUGCUCCUAGUACGAGAGGACCGGAGUGGACGAACCUCUGGUGUUCCGGUUGUCACGCCAGUGGCAUUGCCGGGUAGCUAUGUUCGGAAGCGAUAACCGCUGAAAGCAUCUAAGCGGGAAGCGCGCCUCAAGAUGAGAUCUCCCGGGGCACAAGCCCCCUGAAGGAACCAUGUAGACUACGUGGUUGAUAGGUCAGGUGUGUAAGUACAGCAAUGUAUUGAGCUAACUGAUACUAAUGAUCCGUGCGGCUUGACCAUAUAACCU
rnacentral:rRNA from 1 species